rnacentral:lncRNA from 1 species
AUGAUGGAAAUAAUUAAUUGGAUUAAUUAAGUGUUGUGAUUAAUUUAGAAAGUCUAAAGAAAUCAUAAAAGUGAUAAAAGAUCGUUUUGGGCUUAAAGAAACGUUCGGGUUUAAUUGGGCCCAUUGGGCCUAAACCCAUUGCGCUUUAUUCAAGCAUAGGAUGACUUGAAUUAAUAAAAGCCCAAAGCCCAAACCAAACACUAUAGGGCCAGCCACUUAAAGGGUUUGGGAGAGAUAUUUAGUCAAGUUGUUGACUAGGUUUCUUUUGUCUAUAUAAGGAACUUUAUAGCACUAAGUUCAUUAGGGUUUUUGUGUGUUUAAAACAACAAAGAGGCAAAAGAAAUAUCUCUCUAAAACACUACAAAGGCCGGCCACCUUGGGGGUGUUUUUACUAACACAUCUUUCACCCUUUUGGUUAUUCCUCCAUCCAUCUCACUACACUAGUGGGUGUGGAUCUUUAGAGGUUUUCUACUUUGGAAACUUGGAGAGAACCUUGGAGCACUCUUACUAACAAAGUGGAGGAGGCAAGGAGGGAGGCUAGGCUCAAGGACUUCAAGGAGCAAAGGGCUUGGAGGUGGUCCAUCCUUGGUCUAAAAUCAAGAUCAAGAGGUAUAGAUCUAUUCCUUGACUUUGUUCUUAAGUUAAAUGUUUUGAUGCAUUAUAUAUAAACCUAUGAACCUUGAAGGGGAUUUGCAUGACUAUUGCUUUGAUAUUAUUUGAUAAAUUGCUUCCGUUGCUCAUGUAUAUAAAUUUUGAAUUGUAUAUGCAUGCUAGUCAUUUAGAAAUCCCAUGUGUUAAGCUCAUAAUUUUCCCUUCAAGUGGUAUAAGAGCCAAAGGUUUAUGUAUAAUGUGUCCUUUUGGAUUUUAUGCAUAUGGGUAUUAAUAUUAUGCAUGACAUAAUUAUUGCUUCAUUCAAAAUAUGUUUAUCUUUUGUUUUUCAAUAGUUGAAAAAUGUUAGUCAAUAGUUGAGAAAGAUAUGUAUGCAAAAGAUGUUUUGUAUGCAUGAAUGAAAAUUGAGUUUUGAACUAAUUUGACAUAUUAUUUCUUCAUUUAAAGUAUGUUUAUCUUUUGUUUUUUCAAUGGUUGAAAAAUAUAAAUUAAGAGUUGAAAAAGAUAUGCAUGUAAAAAGGUGUUUUAGAUGCAUGAAUGAAGAAUAAGUCAUGAACAAAAUUUUGAGGUUUUGAACCAAAAAGGGAGGGCACGGUUUUGGGGGUGGUUUUGGGUUGUGUUUGUGUUUUAUUGUAAACCACUCACACAUCCUUUUAAAGCUAGAAAAAAGGGUUCUUGUCACUUUUGUUUUUGGGUUUGAAAAAUCACCAAGAAUAUACAAAUCUUGAAAAUGUGUUCAUGGUUUUGUUCUUGGUGUUCAUGGUUUGGUUUUAGGUGAAAAUGGUUUUAUUUGAUUUUCAUGCAUUGUUUUGUGGUUUUGGAUGAUGUUCAUACCAUCCAUAACCAUAUCAUAAUUUUUUUAUAAAACCCUAGACUUGACUAGGAGGAUUUCCAUCACCUUUUCCCUAAAGUCUUUGAAGCAAAACCAAGUGACAAGCAAAAUUUAUUUUUUUCUACAUAAUGUGGUUUUUGAUGCAUGUUGUGUAAGAGUGUGUAAGAAACCUCCCAUCCCCUUAAUGUGGCCAGCCUCCCUAGUGGAUUUAUCCACUUGUGGGGCUAUUUUGUAAUCUUUGAAAAGUUGAUAUUUACUUUUGAGUAUUUCCGGUUUGACCCCUAACUUUUUCAUAUUUGCAUUUAGGCCCCUACUAACUAGAAAGUUAAAAUAAUUGAUUUUAAUUUUGUUAGUUGUUUAAACUCAUAAUUCUAUUAUGCCCAUAUGCACUAAAUCUAAAUGUUCAUGUUGCAUUCCAUUUUGAUUAUUUAAUGUGAUUAAGUAGUUAGAAAAUGGUGACUAUGGACUUAUGCCUUAAACGAUAAUUGAGCUAUGAGAUAAGGCGCUAAAAUCAAAUUGUUUGAACCUUGGGAUUGUGUUUUAAUUACUGUUUUUAAUGGACCCUGUCACAUUUGACAUUAAUCUAUCUCUCCCUCUUAGUAUGUGUAAUAUGUAGGAAUUUGUACAAAUCGGUUUGUAAUUCUUAUUAUUUCUUAAUCUCUUUUAGUUAGUUGAUUCCCUUGUUGGAAAUGUGCCCUAAAACCAAUCAUGUGAUGAUGCUUUACGGACAUUUCACAUGUUAAACUAAU